UGAGCAAUCUGCCCUUCUCAUCGGAAUAAGCGUUGGAAACGACGUCUAAUGCCGAAUACGACCUCCUUUCGCAUGAUCGGAGGUGGAAAGCUCCGGCGGAGAAGGAUGAGCUCGCGGCCUAUCAGCUAGUUGGUGUGGUAAUGGCCCACCAAGGCGACGACGGGUAGCCGGCCUGAGAGGGUGACCCGGCCACACGUGGGACUGAGACACGGCCCAGACCUCCGUACGGGAGCAG
rnacentral:rRNA from 1 species